GCCGGGUGUGGUGGCGCACGCCUGUAAUCCCAGCUACUCUGGAGGCUGAGGCAUGAGAAUCGCUUGAACCUAGGAGGCAGAGGUUGCAGUGAGCCAAGAUAGCACCACUGCACUCCAGCCUGGGUGACAGAGUGAGACUGAGUCUCAA
rnacentral:SRP_RNA from 1 species